rnacentral:rRNA from 1 species
GGGGGGGGGGGGGGGGGGGCUGGGGGGGGGGGGGGGGGGGGGGGGGGCGGGGCUUGUGUGGGGGGGUGGGGGGGCGAACGGGUGAGUGACACGUGAGUAACCUGCCCUUGACUUUGGGAUGACUUCAGGAAACUGGGGCUAAUACCGGAUAGGAGCUCCUGCUGCAUGGUGGGGGUUGGAAAGUUUCGGCGGUUGGGGAUGGACUCGCGGCUUAUCAGCUUGUUGGUGGGGUAGUGGCUUACCAAGGCUUUGACGGGUAGCCGGCCUGAGAGGGUGACCGGCCACAUUGGGACUGAGAUACGGCCCAGACUCCUACGGGAGGCAGCAGUGGGGAAUAUGGCACAAUGGGCGGAAGCCUGAUGCAGCAACGCCGCGUGCGGGAUGACGGCCUUCGGGUUGUAAACCGCUUUCGCCUGUGACGAAGCGUGAGUGACGGUAAUGGGUAAAGAAGCACCGGCUAACUACGUG